rnacentral:rRNA from 1 species
GUAAUAGCUCACCAAGGCGAUGACGGGUAGCUGGUCUGAGAGGAUGAUCAGCCACACUGGAACUGAGACACGGUCCAGACUCCUACGGGAGGCAGCAGUGGGGAAUUUUGGGCAAUGGGCGCAAGCCUGACCCAGCGACACUGCGUGGGUGAUGACGGUCUUUGGAUUGUAAAACCCUUUUAUGGAGGAGUAAGGCGGGAAGGAGGAAAUGCCUUUCCGUUUGACAGUACUCCAUGAAUAAGCCCCAGCCAACUACGUGCCAGCAGCUGCGGUAAUACGUAGGGGGCAAGCGUUGUCCGGAAUUACUGGGUGUAAAGGGUGUGCAGGCGUCUCCCUAAGUUGAUUGUGAAAGCCCGAAGCUCAACUUCGGAACGGCAGUCAAUACUGGGGGGAUGGAGGUUAUGGGAGGGAAGUGGAAUUCUCGGUGUAGCGGUGAAAUGCGUAGAUAUCGAGAGGAACACCGGUGGCGAAGGCGGCUUCCUAUCAUAGACCUGACGCUCAUACACGAAAGCUAGGGGAGCAAACAGGAUUAGAUACCCUGGUAGUCCUAGCCCUAAACGAUGAAUACUAGGUGUUGGAGGAUCAAAUCCUUCAGUGUCGUAGCUAACGCGUUAAGUAUUCCACCUGGAAAGUACGGU